UAUCUUUGUAACUGUUUUGGUGAUGUAAACAGACACUCGUCUUUUACAUGAAAAGGGAAUCCGGUCAGAAUCCGGAACAGUGCCCGCUACUGUGGUCUCUAUUCAGUUAACAAUGUUUCUGAAAAAAGUCUUUGAGCAAUACCAAAUACCACUGUUUCACAGUAAUCAGUGAUACAGUAAUCAGUUAACAGUUUUUUUUGACUGUUUACUGAUAACUGCUAACUGUUUACUGAAAAUGGGAAGGCCGUUCAAAGAUGGAGCAAGUCAGGAAACCUGCCGGACAAAAUAUUCAGUUU
rnacentral:ncRNA from 1 species